ensembl:miRNA
UGAGAAUGUGGAAGGAGGCUGCCGGACGCUGCUGGCUGCCUUCCAGCAUCCACUUCCCCUUCUCUCUCUCC